rnacentral:rRNA from 1 species
UACGUAGGGGGCAAGCGUUGUCCGGAUUUAUUGGGCGUAAAGAGCGUGUAGGCGGCCAUACAGGUCAGCUGUGAAAACUCGAGGCUCAACCUCGAGACGUCGGUUGAAACCGUAUGGCUAGAGUCCGGAAGAGGAGUGUGGAAUUCCCGGUGUAGCGGUGAAAUGCGCAGAUAUCGGGAAGAACACCGGUGGCGAAGGCGGGUCUCUGGGCCGAUACUGACGCUGAGGAGCGAAAGCGUGGGGAGCGAACAGG